UACGGGAGGCAGCAGUGGGGAAUAUUGCACAAUGGGCGAAAGCCUGAUGCAGCUAUGCCGCGUGUAUGAAGAAGGCCUUAGGGUUGUAAAGUACUUUCAUCGGGGAGGAAAAACAAAACUAAUAAUUUUAUUUCUUGACGUUACCCGAAAAAGAAGCACCGGCUAACUCCGUGCCAGCAGCCGCGGUAAUACGGAGGGUGCUAGCGUUAAUCAGAAUUACUGGGCGUAAAGAGCACGUAGGUGGUUUUUUUAAAGUCAGAUGUGAAAUCCCUGGGCUUAACCUGGAACUGCAUUUUGAAACUGAAAUACUAGAGUAUCGUAGAGGGAGGUAGAAUUCUAGGUGUAGCGGUGAAAUGCGUAGAUAUCUGGAGGAAUACCUGUGGCGAAAGCGGCCUCCUAAACGAAUACUGACACUGAGGUGCGAAAGCGUGGGGAGCAAACAGGGAUUAGAUA
rnacentral:rRNA from 1 species